rnacentral:lncRNA from 1 species
CGAGAAGGGGCGGGGCCGAAGCCGGUUGCCAGGGUGUCGCGGAGCGGCUGGGAAGGAGGGGCUGGGAAUCUUGGAGCCCCUUGGCCCGCGGGGAAAGCGGGUGACCCGCCCUGCAAGUGGGAUGCCCCCUUCGGCCUUCUGGAGCGCAGGUGGGGGCGCGCGCCCAUCGGGGGCUCGCACUGCACGGAGGGUCGCGGUGCCGGGGAGCUGAGGUUGGAGGAUGCAGGGCGGCGGCCCUGGUGCACCGUGGGGGAGUUCGCACGCCGGGCAGCGAUCUUCUGCCGGGACCUGGCGUUCUUCACACACGGCUUAUUCGUGACGGAUCCACAGAGCAAUGCACUCUGAAGCCGGAGGGUAGAAAGUGCUGGAAUGCGCGCCCGGGCCCAGGCUGUCGCGAGCCUUCAGCAAGCCAGUGCACACAGAGAGGGCUGCCCAGAGAUCCCGGUCAGCGCUCGCAGUUCGAGGUGGAACAUGGAGGCUGUCUCCCCGGCAAGGGUGCCCACUGCAAGCACAGGCGUGAGAAAUGGCCCAGAAAAGAGUGGUCAGGGCAAUGUGUUCUUGGCACGCCCAGCAAGACCUGCCAGAGGGACCUACAGACGAGUGUCUCCCAGCUAUCUUACCAGCGGGGACCUUGAGGUCCAAGUAUCCAGUCCGGUUAGAAAUGGCCGCGGAUCCAACAGGUGCUGGUGAGUGGGAGAAUACCCCUGAGGGAGGAAGAACAGAGGCCGGGAGGGAGCUGAGUGGAUGUAGAUGAGAAAUACCUGGACAGCUGCAAGCUGUAGUCAGUGAUGGGCAACUGGAACCAGAGAUUCCAGAGAGAGGGAGGGAGAAAGAGGGAGGAGAAGGGAGAAUGAGAAAGAGAGGGAGAGAGAAUGGGGGGGAGAAAGAGGGAGAAUGGGGGAGAGAGGUAGGAGCAAGUUCUGGACCACGCCAAGGAUGGAGCUGUGGUCCUGGAACCAGAUGUCCAGGGAAUGGGAUGAAGUGACACUGGCUGGGGCCGAGGCUGCAGACUGCUGGUGGGAGCUGGCAGGACAAUGAGGAUUCUGAACCAGGUGCCUGAGCCUUCUGUGGAUAUGGGGAGUGACUUGGAUGUCUAUAAAUUCCAGAAAUGAUAGGAGGGAUAGAUGAUGGAGGGACUGUAUUUUAGACAAUAAACAAAUUUCACUCAGUAUGGAUGAGUUUCCUGGGGCUUCUGUCACAAUGCAUCACAAACUGGUUUUAAAAACAACAACUGUUUUAAAAACAACAGAAACGUGUUUCCUCAUAGCCCUGGAGGCCAGAAGUGCAAAAUCAAGGAGUGUGCAGGGCCAUGCUCCCUCUGCAGCCCUGAGGGUUGACGCAUGUCUUGCUCUGCCAGGCCUGCUUGGUGUCCUGGGCUUGCUCAUGCACUGCUCCCAUCCCUGCCUCCAUCUUCACACGACCUUCUCCAGGUGGGUCUCUUCUGCAACAUCCCUGUUGGAUUAGGGACCACCCUAGUGACCUCAUCUUUAGUCGAUCAUCAUCAUGUUUGAUCAAAUAAGGUCACUGUGUUUGUUUGUUUUCCCACUGCUAUUAAUAUGAAGAACUUACCUGAAGCUG